UACGUAGGCAGCAAGCGUUGUUCGGAGUUACUGGGCGUAAAGGGUGUGUAGGCGGUUAUUUAAGUUUGGUGUGAAAUCUCCCGGCUCAACCGGGAGGGUGCGCCGAAUACUGAAUGACUUGGAGUGCGGGAGAGGAAAGUGGAAUUCCUGGUGUAGCGGUGAAAUGCGUAGAUAUCAGGAGGAACACCGGUGGUGUAGACGGCAUCCUGGCCCUGUACUGACGCUGAGGCGCGAUAGCGUGGGGAGCAAACGGG
rnacentral:rRNA from 1 species